UUGCAGCCAUGAAAUUAAAAGACACUUACAUGUCUUUAUUGGUCAUUCAAGUGGGGCAAAGGAAAUAACCUUUUAAAACUCAGGCAAACUGGGUGUUUGUCUUGUAACCUGUCAGAGGAAACAUUG